rnacentral:rRNA from 1 species
CAUGCAAGUCGAACGAAGCUUGACGGAUGAUUUCUUCGGAAUGAAACCAGAUAUGACUUAGUGGCGGACGGGUGAGUAACACGUGAGCAACCUGCCUUUCAGAGGGGGAUAACGGCUGGAAACGGUCGCUAAUACCGCAUGAUGUGUUCGGAUGGCAUCAUCUGAACAUCAAAGAUUUAUCGCUGAAAGAUGGGCUCGCGUCUGAUUAGAUAGUUGGUGGGGUAACGGCCUACCAAGUCGACGAUCAGUAGCCGGACUGAGAGGUUGAACGGCCACAUUGGGACUGAGAUACGGCCCAGACUCCUACGGGAGGCAGCAGUGGGGAAUAUUGCACAAUGGGGGAAACCCUGAUGCAGCAACGCCGCGUGAAGGAUGACGGUUUUCGGAUUGUAAACUUCUUUUCUUAGUGACGAAGACAGUGACGGUAGCUAAGGAAUAAGCAUCGGCUAACUACGUGCCAGCAGCCGCGGUAAUACGUAGGAUGCAAGCGUUAUCCGGAUUUACUGGGUGUAAAGGGAGCGCAGGCGGGACUGCAAGUUGGAUGUGAAAUACCGUGGCUUAACCACGGAACUGCAUCCAAAACUGUAGUUCUUGAGUGAAGUAGAGGCAAGCGGAAUUCCGAGUGUAGCGGUGAAAUGCGUAGAUAUUCGGAGGAACACCAGUGGCGAAGGCGGCUUGCUGGGCUUUAACUGACGCUGAGGCUCGAAAGUGUGGGGAGCAAACAGGAUUAGAUACCCUGGUAGUCCACACUGUAAACGAUGAUAGCUAGGUGUGGGGGGUCUGACCCCUUCCGUGCCGGAGUUAACGCAAUAAGCUAUCCACCUGGGG